CCUCUAAGAGUCUUUCUGGCUCUGUUCAGACUCCUCACUCUGCCUUGCUAUGGUUUAAGGGACAGACGUUUGCUUCAGCCCGCACAGGUGUGUGACAUUUUGAAGGGUGUCAUUUUAGUAAUCUGCUAUUUCAUGAUGCAUUAUGUUGACUAUUCUAUGAUGUACCACCUGAUAAGAGGCCAAUCUGUCAUCAAACUCUAUAUCAUCUACAACAUGCUAGAGGUAGCCGAUCGUCUGUUCUCCUCAUUUGGACAAGAUAUCUUAGAUGCUCUGUACUGGACAGCCACAGAGCCGAAAGAAAGAAAAAGAGCACACAUCGGAGUAAUUCCUCACUUCUUCAUGGCUGUUCUCUAUGUCUUUCUACAUGCAAUUCUUAUCAUGGUUCAAGCGACAACUCUCAAUGUAGCUUUUAACUCUCACAACAAGUCACUGCUUACUAUCAUGAUGUCUAAUAAUUUUGUUGAAAUUAAAGGAAGUGUAUUCAAGAAGUUUGAAAAGAACAAUCUCUUUCAGAUGUCAAAUAGUGAUAUCAAGGAACGAUUCACAAAUUACGUGCUUUUGCUAAUAGUUUGCUUAAGAAACAUGGAGCAGUUCUCUUGGAAUCCAG
rnacentral:lncRNA from 1 species